rnacentral:rRNA from 1 species
AAACUGCGAAUGGCUCAUUAAAUCAGUUAUCGUUUAUUAGAUAGUACCUUACUACUUGGAUAACCGUGGUAAUUCUAGAGCUAAUACAUGCUAAAAACCCCAACUUCGGGAGGGGUGUAUUUAUUAGAUAAAAAACCAAUGCCCUUCGGGGCUCUUUGGUGAUUCAUGAUAACUUAACGGAUCGCAUGGCCUUGCGCCGGCGACGGUUCAUUCAAAUUUCUGCCCUAUCAACUUUCGAUGGUAAGGUAUUGGCUUACCAUGGUUUCAACGGGUAACGGGGAAUUAGGGUUCGAUUCCGGAGAGGGAGCCUGAGAAACGGCUACCACAUCCAAGGAAGGCAGCAGGCGCGCAAAUUACCCAAUCCCGACGCGGGGAGGUAGUGACAAUAAAUACUGAUACAGGGCUCUUUUGGGUCUUGUAAUCGGAAUGAGUACAAUUUAAACCCCUUAACGAGGAACAAUUGGAGGGCAAGUCUGGUGCCAGCAGCCGCGGUAAUUCCAGCUCCAAUAGCGUAUAUUAAAGUUGUUGCAGUUAAAAAGCUCGUAGUUGAACCUUGGGCCUGGCUGGCCGGUCCGCCUCACCGCGUGUACUGGUCCGGCCGGGCCUUUCCUUCUGGAGAACCCCAUGCCCUUCACUGGGCGUGUGGGGGAACCAGGACUUUUACUUUGAAAAAAUUAGAGUGUUCAAAGCAGGCCUUUGCUCGGAUACGUUAGCAUGGAAUAAUAGAAUAGGACGUGCGAUCCUAUUUUGUUGGUUUCUAGGACCGCCGUAAUGAUUAAUAGGGACAGUCGGGGGCAUCAGUAUUCAAUUGUCAGAGGUGAAAUUCUUGGAUUUAUUGAAGACUAACUACUGCGAAAGCAUUUGCCAAGGAUGUUUUCAUUAAUCAGUGAACGAAAGUUAGGGGAUCGAAGACGAUCAGAUACCGUCGUAGUCUUAACCGUAAACUAUGCCGACUAGGGAUCGGGAGAUGUUCUCUCUUGACUCGCUCGGCACCUUACGAGAAAUCAAAG